AGAGCUUGCUCUCGGGUGACGAGCGGCGGACGGGUGAGUAAUGUCUGGGAAACUGCCUGAUGGAGGGGGAUAACUACUGGAAACGGUAGCUAAUACCGCAUAACGUCGCAAGACCAAAGAGGGGGACCUUCGGGCCUCUUGCCAUCAGAUGUGCCCAGAUGGGAUUAGCUAGUAGGUGGGGUAACGGCUCACCUAGGCGACGAUCCCUAGCUGGUCUGAGAGGAUGACCAGCCACACUGGAACUGAGACACGGUCCAGACUCCUACGGGAGGCAGCAGUGGGGAAUAUUGCACAAUGGGCGCAAGCCUGAUGCAGCCAUGCCGCGUGUAUGAAGAAGGCCUUCGGGUUGUAAAGUACUUUCAGCGGGGAGGAAGGUGUUGUGGUUAAUAACCACAGCAAUUGACGUUACCCGCAGAAGAAGCACCGGCUAACUCCGUGCCAGCAGCCGCGGUAAUACGGAGGGUGCAAGCGUUAAUCGGAAUUACUGGGCGUAAAGCGCACGCAGGCGGUCUGUCAAGUCGGAUGUGAAAUCCCCGGGCUCAACCUGGGAACUGCAUUCGAAACUGGCAGGCUAGAGUCUUGUAGAGGGGGGUAGAAUUCCAGGUGUAGCGGUGAAAUGCGUAGAGAUCUGGAGGAAUACCGGUGGCGAAGGCGGCCCCCUGGACAAAGACUGACGCUCAGGUGCGAAAGCGUGGGGAGCA
rnacentral:rRNA from 1 species